GUCCGUGUGAUGGAGUGGUCACCAUGUCGUUCUUAUAUCUCUUUCAUUCGUGCAAGAAAUAUGCUAGUUAUGCGAAAGUCGUGAGUUCGAACCUCACCAUGGACA